rnacentral:rRNA from 1 species
AAGCACUUGUGACCAGACUUGGGCCCGGUGAAUCAUCCAGCGUUCUCGCUGGUGCACUUCGCCGGGUCCAGGCCAGCAUCAGUUUGCCCCGGGGGAUAAAGGCGGCGGGAAUGUGGCUCCCUCGGGAGUGUUAUAGCCCGCCGCGCAAUACCCUGGGGCGGACUGAGGUUCGCGCAUCACGCAAGGAUGCUGGCGUAAUGGUCACCAGUGA